GUGUGUGCAUAUAAUGUGAGGGCAUGCUAGUGUAACAGCUACAAGUUACAUCUACAGGUAAAUCUCUCAUGAAAAACCAAGUGAAGAGAGAAAAUCAAGAGGCCCUUGCUCAGUGCAACUCUCUGCUAAUUAAACACUGGUGUUAAUUGCAGUAAUGUGCCUGGACCCUGUUCCCUGUGUUUGUUGUGGAGCCUGCACGAGCUCUGUAUUGCUCAGAACUUCCACAUUCCCACACAAAAUGAAACCAUCUAUAAAAGGAAUGAAAGGCUGUGAUAUGUAUAUAUAUCUAUAGGGCUAUUUUUAAAGAAAAGAUUUUUUUGUGUGUGCUAGUUCAAAGCCAGCUUUGAUUAUCUAAAGGAAAAGUCAGUCUUUAAAAAGGGUCAAAAAAUAAAUGUAAAGAUGGAAUCUUUUUUUAUUUAAUCCAUGAUGAAAAGAGCAUUUCCUAUUUGCAAUGCUCCUGCUUCUCAAUUUUUAGAUUAUCUUAUUUUAGUUUAUCUUUAAUUAAGGUCGAAAUGUAAAAGUUUCAGGCAGCAUUUCCCGUCCUUCCUUUACGAAAUGUGCAAAGCAGCAUUCCAUUAGGGCCAACAGCCAGUAAAAGGGAUGUCAUUUGACACCCUUAUACAACUAUGCAUACCAGGCUGGAACGGAGAGAGCGGGAUUAUGUGAGUGGAUAGAAAGCCCUUCUAGAGAGAGGAUUUACUCACACUGUUUUUCUUUACACAUUCUGCUCACUGAAGAUAGUAAAUCAGCUAUUGGACUUGCAGAAACAACUCUCAUGAUGGCUAAAGAAUUUAGGCACAAAGUAGAUGAAGGCAAAGAUCUGGCCUCUCUACAGCAGCUCAUAGCAACCAUGGGAAGAGACCAAACAGCGCCCACGUCCCCAGGGGCUAAACAGUGCCUAUGCCUGGACCGUAUUUUCCUCUUCUAAGGCAUGGAUAAGAGGUGGGCUGGGUUUCCAGAGCCCAGGCCAAAUCCCACAUUAACCUUCUGCUUUUAUGGCAGGCUAAACCGAAGCCCUGGAUCUGCAUGUUCUAAAAUGCCAAAGACCGUACUUUACAGUUGCUGUAAGGCAGAAACUGUCUUUUCUGCUACACAGAAAAACUUAAGCCUGCAGGAUGCAGAUCAAAACUCCCCUCCCAGGUUCAGCACUGCAGUUCCACUGGAGUCAGAGAGGCUAGGAAGAAAGCAACAGCUUUUUGUGUAUUUUUCAUCCUGCCUUGAGGACCAUUUUAACUGGAAGUCUUAUGAAACUCACUUCCAUUUUAGCAAAACUUCAAAUGAGAAGCACAUCAUGAAGGACUGCUUGGGUCUGCGUCUUCCAGAAACCUACCCUACAAGAAUGAUUGCACUGGUUCUGUACUGUGAGAAUCUAACUGAACCUUCAUGGAAAAAGGGAGGCAGAAUGUGCCUGCAGGCCACAGGGAUAGAAGAAAACCACAGAUCAAGUUGCAUGCCCUCCAAGACUUGACAAAAGCCAUCUUGGCAUAUGGAGGAUAGCAGGACCUACAUCUUGCAAAAUCAUUUGAAAGCUCUGAUGGUUGCCUCAUGGAUGUUCUUAUUUCUUGAUAAUGCCAGUUUAUUAUCUAAGCUCCAGAAAUAUCCAAAGACCUCAUCCCUAUUGCGUAAAGCACUGUACAAACACAUAAUCAAUCAACAAUCCUGUCUUCUAAGAUUUUAUAUAUGAAAUUGCAACCAUGAGAAAUGCAAACACAUAUGCCAAAGCUUAAUGUUAUUUGUAGGUAAAACAUUAGGAGGAGCCUAGACUAUUUCAGCACUACCACAACCACAUAGGUUAGGGUGAACAGCAAGAGCAAUGUUUAAAUCACAGGAAGCAAUUUGGCUAGUCAUAAUGAUCUCAGAUACCAAAUAUUCUGCACAAAAUACUUUGUUUCCCAGCAACCCUCAAAUUGCUGUUAAAAUCUUAAUCCUACAGCUUUACAUACGAUACGAAAAUUUGACCUUUUAUACAAGUGCAUACUAAUAACAGCAGCUGAAUUGUCUGAAAGGUACAGUAAAACUCAAAGCCAUUCAUAUUCAUAAAUUAAUAUUUUUCAUGUUA